rnacentral:rRNA from 1 species
GAUGAACGCUGGCGGCGUGCCUAAUACAUGCAAGUCGAGCGAACAGACGAGGAGCUUGCUCCUUCGACGUUAGCGGCGGACGGGUGAGUAACACGUAGGUAACCUACCUAUAAGACUUGGAUAACUUCGGGAAACCGGAGCUAAUACCGGAUAAUAUUUCUAACCGCAUGGUUCGAUAGUGAAAGAUGGCUUUGCUAUCACUUAUAGAUGGACCUGCGCCGUAUUAGCUAGUUGGUAAGGUAACGGCUUACCAAGGCAACGAUACGUAGCCGACCUGAGAGGGUGAUCGGCCACACGGGAACUGAGAAACGGUCCAGACUCCUAAGGGAGGCAGCAGUAGGGAAUCUUCCGCAAUGGGCGAAAGCCUGACGGAGCAACGCCGCGUGAGUGAUGAAGGUCUUCGGAUCGUAAAACUCUGUUAUUAGGGAAGAACAAACGUGUAAGUAACUGUGCACGUCUUGACGGUACCUAAUCAGAAAGCCACGGCUAACUACGUG